GCUCCACUAGCUCAGUUGGCAGAGCGUCAGUCUCAUAAGAAAUUAUUCUUGUGCAAUCUGAAGGUCGACAGUUCGAACCUGCCGUGGAGCA
rfam:Hyphopichia burtonii NRRL Y-1933 unplaced genomic scaffold HYPBTscaffold_7, whole genome shotgun sequence.